AGAACGAACGCUGGCGGCACGCCUAACACAUGCAAGUCGAGCGCCCAGCAAUGGGAGCGGCGGACGGGUGAGUAACACGUGGGAAUAUGCCUUUCGGUACGGAACAACUCAGGGAAACUUGAGCUAAUGCCGUAUACGCCCUUACGGGGAAAGAUUUAUCGCCGAAAGAUUAGCCCGCGUCUGAUUAGCUAGUUGGUGAGGUAAUGGCUCACCAAGGCUUCGAUCAGUAGCUGGUUUGAGAGAACGACCAGCCACACUGGGACUGAGACACGGCCCAGACUCCUACGGGAGGCAGCAGUGGGGAAUCUUGGACAAUGGGGGAAACCCUGAUCCAGCGAUGCCGCGUGAGUGAUGAAGGCCUUCGGGUUGUAAAACUCUUUCGACGGGGACGAUAAUGACGGUACCGUAGAAGAAGCUCCGGCUAACUUCGUGCCAGCAGCCGC
rnacentral:rRNA from 1 species